GGAAGGUCAACCCGACGGUAGGCGACGGGAGCGGUCUUGAAAACCGCCGAGGCGUAACAGCGCCUUGUGAGUUCGAUCCUCACAUCUUCC
rnacentral:tRNA from 1 species